GUGCUCACUUCAGCAGCCCAUAUACUAAAAUUGGAAUGAUACAGAAAGGAUAACCUGGCCUCUGCACAAGCAUUCCAUAUUUUUGAAAUAAAUGUCCAACAUCUCC
rnacentral:snRNA from 1 species